UUUGUUGUUUUUGGUACAUGGACACAAUCGUUGUAGAACAAGGUCGGUCUUCCAUGUACGGAUUUGUUGAACCUCAGACCAUUCAACCGUUUGGUAACACACUUCAAAACAGACAACAUUAUUUGCAAACAUGGAUGGAUGAGUCAAAAAGAGACGUAUACCUUGUGCCAUACAUUGAUGGGUAGCAUGCACUGGCAGUUGAUGGUCAUCAUUCCCAAAGCAUGUAAAAUUAUAUGGUUUUGUUCGUUGCAUAGGAAGAUGAAAAAUGACUUGAGAACAAUGCUUCAAGGAGUUAUUGGUAAAUCAUGUGGUCAACUGG